rnacentral:rRNA from 1 species
CUCAACCUCGGAAUUGCAGUCGAUACUGCUGUGACUCGAGUCCGGUAGAGGAGAAUGGAAUUCCCGGUGUAGCGGUGAAAUGCGCAGAUAUCGGGAGGAACACCAGUAGCGAAGGCGGUUCUCUGGGCCGGCACUGACGCUGAGGAGCGAAAGCGUGGGGAGCAAACAGGAUUAGAUACCCUGGUAGUCCACGCCGUAAACGUUGGAUACUAGGUGUGGCGGUUAUACCAAUGACUGCCGUGCCGAAGCUAACGCAUUAAGUAUCCCGCCUGGGGAGUACGGCCGCAAGGCUAAAACUCAAAGGAAUUGACGGGUCCCCGCACAAGCGGCGGAGCAUGCGGCUUAAUUCGAUGCAACCCGAAGAACCUUACCUGGGUUUGACAUCACGGGAAAAGCUGUAGAAAUACAGUGUCCAUUAGGGCCC